UGCGGAGCGGUCCGGAGCCACCGGGUUAAUGCCCUUGACUUAGCUCCGGCUGGGGUGUCCUUGGCAAUUCCACGUGGCCCCCAGGACCUGAGUCUCGCGUUUCUUGCUUGAGUGACAGGACCGUGCGCCGUAGGCAGCUUCCUGAGACCUGGUCUGGUGCCGAGGAAGGCAGCCCACACCAGACACGGACCUGGCUUCCCUUGGGUCCUCGGUGGAGGAGCUAAAGCUCAUGUCCUGGGAAACAACUGGGACGUCAGAAGCCAGGAGUGGGCAGGGGGCGGGCGCCCGGUGGAGCGAGGAAGGCUGGGACCAGGCCAGGUAUUCCGGGAUGCUCAAGGGCCACUCGCUGCCCAGCCCCAACCUCGGCUGCAAGCACUGAGAACCCACCCCAGUGGCACACGCAUGGGCCUGCCCCCAGGCACCUGUGACUUUGCACCUGUGUCUGUCCUGCUGGUUUGCGCAGCCACCUUGCAGCCCACCUGUCAGCCGGGGCACGUCUGGGGUGCAGGGGAAGGAGCCCCUAGUAGGGCCGGGGCCCUGGAACGGCCUCCAUCCUUCAGCUCCUGCAUGAACGUGGGGGAUCACGUGACCUGUCAGCUGUGGGGUUCCCACGUGUAAGAUGAGAGCUCUGGAGGUGCCGGCCUUCAGGAUGGGGUGACCCCCACUGUCCAUGCUUGGUGGGGAGGGCCGCUGUUCCCGGGCCUUUCACACGGGGGGCCCGGCGUGCACUGGACCCUGGGGGACAGUUUGCCCCAUCUGUUCUCUGGGGCCGGGCUGCACCCCGUGACGUGGGCUGAGGCCCACACUCCCACAAUCAGUGUUUUGAUCUUCUCUAAUUCUCUCAGUAAGACCCAUUUGGUCCCUGGCGGUUCCCUCCAUUGCAUUCUUGGCAGGUAGAGUCCAAGGUCAACAGGAAUGUAGGGGGACCCCUCCGCUGUUGCUCCUGCCCUCACCUUCCCUUGUCCUGCUGUUUUCAUCGUCCCAUCUGUUCUCUCGUCCUCUGCUUGUCUUUCUCUCCCGUGUCAUGGACUUAUCACUGACCUAUGACACUGAGUUGCAUGUACGCAACGGGACGACUGGAUGUCUGUGUAGACCUCGAAAUGCUUCCCUCUCUAAAUGACACGAGUCAGGUCACAAGUAACAGGCUGUUUCCCAUUUUUCCCUCUCGCUGUAACUGCCCACAGGGCGGAAGGGCACUUGCUGGCCAGAUGCCUGACCCAGGGGGGCCACUUGAGCUGCCCCAGCUCUGCAAGGACGCCUGGUGCUCUUAGAACUCCCCGGGCAGGAGGUGUCCCUGGGGUUCAGGAUCAGGGAGAGCAGGCGUGGAGCUCCCACGCUGGGCCUCUGCCUUCCCUCCAGCUGGGCCGCUGAGCCCAGACGCCUCUGCCCAGCAGCUGGGCGGGCGCAGGAGCCAGCUGGCCCCGGACACGUAAUCCUGGUUAAGAAGAGGAAGGGGAAAGGGCCUGUAAUUUCCCAGACACGGACAACGGGAACCAGAGCCUCGUGUCAAAGAAGCCCUUUCCCUGAGAAAGGCGGGAAGAGAAAGGGGACAGAGGCGGGAAAGUGAGGGGGAAAGGCGUGGACGCGGCCCCUCGGAGCACUGAGCUCCUCAGCUGGACCGUGAGGACCCCCGCCGCCCGCCUGGCACAGGCUCUCGAGAGACAGGAAGGGAGAGAGCAAGAAACAUCGACGCGAGAGAGAAGGAUCCAUCGGUUGCCUCCCAUACCCACCCGACUGCAGAUGGAACCCAUGACCUUUUGGUGUCUGGAUGAUGCUCCAGGCACCCACGCCCCCGGCUGGGGCAGCCUGUCCCUUCCGCAGGAGGCUGGGGGCGCCUCCCUCCCUUCCCCGCCUUCUGUGUGAAGGGCUCACACCGUGCUGUGGAGGAGAGCCCGUCACCGUGGACCGGCCAGGGGCAUGUCUUCCUUCUCCCACUGGGCGAGCAUCCCGUGACUCCCCGGGCGGACGAGAGCGACCCACUCUGUGUGGGCAGCUGUCCGGCCGGGCUUGGCGGGGUCGGGUCGGGGUUGUUCGUCUUCCCGCAGCUGCAAACGGCUGUGGGUGUUUUUCUCGGCUAAAGCCUCGGCGACGCGGGGAGGCUGCUUCGUGACGAGGUGCAGUUGUGGGAGACACGGACAUAUGGCAGAGCCUCUGUCCCCGAGGGGCGGCGAGCCGUCUGGCUGAAGCCCAAGGCCCUGGGCCGGAACAAUGAAGGGACGGGGCACAAAGAAGCCCAGAGUGGAGCCCAAGCGUGCGACCGGCCGGGGAACCGGGGCCCUGGGCUUCUCCCGGUGACGGUCCCUAACGGUCCUCUCAGAGUCGGCCGAGGUCUGUCGAGCUCCCGCAGGGGGCCCGGCACUGGCCUGGGCACUGGGCACUGGGCACGCUGCUGGGAGCGAGGCAAACAGGGGCCACCCUGGAGGAGCGCCCCCUGCAGGCCUCACCUCGUCCUCAUCCACACGGUUUCAUAUCCUAGAGCUCAUUUACUUAUUAUGUAUGUGCGUGCCAUCUGUAUUCACGGAGGACCCGAGGCAGCUGAUACGUGACGGGACCCCAAAACCAAACACCGGGUGGAUGGUCGAAGACCAGGGUGGCACUGGAAAAUCCGGGUUCAGGCAAAUGCUGUGACAUCUGAGCCUGCACCUCAGCUCCGAGCCUCCUGGUGGCUGUGUCAAAAGGGGAAAGAGUGCGUCUGACCCAAGGAAGCAUUUCCUGAGGGUCCCUUCUUUCCCUCCUCCUCUGUCCCACGCCCUGAGCCUCACGCAGGCGCGCUCGCUUCGGCAGAAGCGGCGCCUGGACACCCUGCCUCCUGACCCCGGGUGCGGACGGCUGGCCGGGCUCCCAGCGCCCCACUGACGGCACCUGCCCUCAGCAUCCUGUGCCCGGGCCCCUCCCACCCGGCCCUGUCACAGCCUGUCACAGCCCCUCGGGCGCUGCACUCGGUCCUCGUUUCCGGCCAGCUUCUCCCCCCCUCCCCAGGGCCGGAGCCUGUCCCUCAUCCGCGCCCCAGGGCCCAUCAGAGUGCCCCGUGCAGUGUCCCCAAUCAAAGUCUGCUCCCAGCGAUUUUUUUCCGCCAUGAAUUAUGUGCCAAGCAGCACGCGAGUCGCCUCAUUCGUGUGUUAUCUCGUGUUAUCUCUCAACAGCCGCCCUGCAGCCUCCAGGCCGUGGUUUUACAGACGGGGGAGACACUGAGAGUCGGCGGCGAGGAGGAGGGCGCUCCCAGGCCCGGCCCCAAACUCUGCCUGCCUGACCGCAAAGCCCUCGCAGCAGGGGAGGCACCUUUCACCUACGACCUUUCACCGGAAUUCCUCUCCUCUUUAGCCGCCCGCCUGGUGGACCCUUGAGGGAAAUGGAGGAACAUUUCUCUCUCUCCCCACAGUGGCUCCCACAGGAGGGGUGUGUGAAAUCGUUUUUGGCGAUGAGAGCUCUUUUCCUUUUAAGACGAUGCUCCGUCCAACUGAGCCGCCCGGCCAGGGCGGCCAUGACGGUUCUUAACGCAGACGCACGUGCAGAACCACCCUGCGGGCUUGCGCGGCGUCAGGGCCGAGAACUGGCAGCACCCGACUGCCCCGCUGAUUUAAGCUCACAGGCUGCGGGGCUUCCAGCCGGACGGGACCCGAGCGCCCACAGGCUCCGCUCCUGGGCCCCCUGGAGGGGUGGCUAAGGGCACCCAGCUGGCUGGUCGAGUCUCAGGGCGAGGCGCAGGGCCAGAGCUGACUGCUGGCGCCCGGCAUCAUUUUCCCAUUCGACUGAAAACUCCUGCCCCGGCUGGUGCGGCUCAGUGGAUUGUGCGCGGGCUGCGAACCAAAGGGUCGCCGGUUCGACUCCCAGUCAGGGCACAGGCCUGGGUGGCG